AUUUAACUCUGGCGGUAGGCCUAACACAUGCAAGUCGAACGGCAGCACAGUAAGAGCUUGCUCUUCCGGGUGGCGAGUGGCGGACGGGUGAGGUAUACAUCGGAAUCUACUUUUUCGUGGGGGAUAACGUAGGGAAACUUACGCUAAUACCGCAUACGCCCUUCGGGUGAAAGCAGGGGAUCUUCGGACCUUGCGCGAUUGAAUGAGCCGAUGUCGGAUUAGCUAGUUGGCGGGGUAAAGGCCCACCAAGGCGACGAUCCGUAGCUGGUCUGAGAGGCUGAUCAGCCACACUGGAACUGGGACACGGUCCAGAGUCCUACGGGAGGCAGCAGUGGGGAAUAGUGGACAAUGGGCGCAAGCCUGAUCCAGCCAUACCGCGUGGGUGAAGAAGGCCUUCGGGUUGUAAAGCCCUUUUGUUGGGAAAGAAAAGCAGCAGGUUAAUACCCCGCGGGUCUGACGGUACCCAAAGAAUAAGCACCGGCUAACUUCGUG
rnacentral:rRNA from 1 species